ACAUCUCAUGUAUGUACUGAACUACCUACACCUUUUACGCCCAUUCUUUUACGUUUUCAAACCAGAACUGUGCGGAGAGUGCAAUAUGUUUACGAGUGCGUGUGUGUGGUUGCCGGGCCCGAAAGAAAAGGAGAAAUAGACAGAAGAAAACAAGGAAAGGCAACGCGGAAUGGAAAAAUAACACUGUUCGACAAAAUCAAACAUUUUUUUUCAGCUUCGAAGCAAACCAACUUAGGUGGCGCUUCUAUUUUUAUCAUAACUGGAUCGAAGCGGAAAAAUCUUGUCGAGUAGUGUAAUUAUUAGUACUCAUUAAAUGGCUGCCAAAGUCAUAAGCGCAUUGCCCCUUUUGGUAAAUAUACAUACAUCUCAUGUAUGUACUGAACUUCCAGUUCUUUCUCCCUUUUGUUGUUUUCUUUGCUUAUUAUUUUAUUAGGGAUGGGCGGCACUGAAAUGGAAGUAUCGCUUCACAUUUAUACAGAAAUUAAAUCCAAUCAAAGCACUGUUUGAAUACGCAUAAUAUUCUAAUUGAAAUUGUUCACUGGCGGGGUAAAAAGCAAUAGUAUUUUAGCAUAAUUUAACGGCAUACAAAUGGACAAUUAUAUCUGAUGCUACCUGUUGAUGGCUAUCGAUAUUUUAUAAGUAUUUUAUAAGUUUAUGAAAGAUACCAUUGAAACUGUGAGCCGUUUCGAACUAUGAUUUAACUAAUAUGUACUAAAUAACAUGAAUGAAACUGUAGAUGAAGAGAUCUUCAUUGCAAACAUCUGAGCCUCGACCGUAUCAACGACGUUGCGCACCACUCUCCCACACCUACACGAUAGCUUGAUUCAGUACGCAGCGGCUUGUGCCGGCUUCUUUAUAUACAGGAUGUUUCUGUCUGGAACGAAUAGAAUAUCUCACUCCACAUGAAGCGUGUGACAAAUUUCUACACGAAGUCCUACCUAUUGUGAACACAUAUAAAUUGCCAACAAAGGUCAAAAAGCGCCUGAGGCUGCUGGAUCUGCAUCCGUGCUUUCGUCUCAUCGAGCAGGGCUAUCAGUACGUGCCCCAUGCCGAGCUCUCCACGUGCUUCGUGCUGAAGGCGAAUCGGGACUUUCGCCUGGCCAGCGCGUUACCAACGUCUACCGACUCUGCGCAGGCCUCCCACUCCCACACGGUGCUCAUUAAUGACGCGGCAAUUAAGCAGAAACUCAGUGUUGGCUACUAAUUCAAGAUCUCCCCUGAGACUGCCAGCCUGUUCUCGGCCAUGGUCUUCAAUGACAUGGAGUUAUCAAUUGGACAGCGCCACGAUUUGGCCGAGAUCCAUCGCCGCUUGCGGCAGGUAAAGCAAUCUUUUGAAGACACCGCCAGAGUCUUGCCAUUCCGCAGGAAUACACAUAACGUGGUCUACGACAUGGAUAUCUUUGUCAAUCUAAGAACGAAAUGAUGCAAGGCAAUUAACAGAAACUAUCACUAAUAGACAGAUUAGACAUUUAGGAUUUUUGUUGUCUUUGCAAGUAGAACGAUUGACGAGACCUAAAUUAUA